UACAGAGGUGGCAAGCGUUGUUCGGAAUUACUGGGCGUAAAGGGCGCGUAGGCGGUCUUGUCAGUCCCUUGUGAAAUCCCCCGGCUCAACUGGGGAACUGCACGGGAAACAGCAGGGCUUGAGUUCGGGAGAGGGAUGCGGAAUUCCAGGUGUAGCGGUGAAAUGCGUAGAUAUCUGGAGGAACACCGGUGGCGAAGGCGGCAUCCUGGACCGGUAUUGACGCUGAGGCGCGAAAGCUAGGGGAGCAAACGGG
rnacentral:rRNA from 1 species